rnacentral:rRNA from 1 species
UAUGCGACACUCUCCCUAGUACGAAAGGAUUGGGAAAGUGAGGCCAAUACUGCAGGCACGCCUCCCCUCUAAAUAGUGAAACCAACUAAACUAUGAAGAAGACCAACACCACUAAUCCAUCAAUCCUAGAAAAGGACCA